AGUGAACGCUGGCGGUAGGCCUGACACAUGCAAGUCGAACGGCAGCACAGUAAGAGCUUGCUCUUACGGGUGGCGAGUGGCGGACGGGUGAGGAAUACAUCGGAAUCUACUUUUUCGUGGGGGAUAACGUAGGGAAACUUACGCUAAUACCGCAUACGACCUACGGGUGAAAGCAGGGGAUCUUCGGACCUUGCGCGAUUGAAUGAGCCGAUGUCGGAUUAGCUAGUUGGCGGGGUAAAGGCCCACCAAGGCGACGAUCCGUAGCUGGUCUGAGAGGAUGAUCAGCCACACUGGAACUGAGACACGGUCCAGACUCCUACGGGAGGCAGCAGUGGGGAAUAUUGGACAAUGGGCGCAAGCCUGAUCCAGCCAUACCGCGUGGGUGAAGAAGGCCUUCGGGUUGUAAAGCCCUUUUGUUGGGAAGGAAAAGCAGCAGGUUAAUACCCCGCUGUUCUGACGGUACCCAAAGAAUAAGCACCGGCUAACUUCGUG
rnacentral:rRNA from 1 species